UACCGGUAAAUAGGACAGUGUUAAAGAG
rnacentral:sRNA from 1 species